rnacentral:rRNA from 1 species
AGUGAACGCUGGCGGCGUAGAUUAGGCAUGCAAGUCGAGCGAUACCCGGAUUGGAGAGUUUGAAGCCGUAAGGCAGAUGACAAUUUGACCUGGGAUAUAGCGGCAGACUGGUGAGUAACACGUGAGUAAUUUACCUUUAAGUUGGGGAUAGCUCCGCGAAAGUGGAGGUAAUACUCGAUGUGCUUAUGGGGGCGCAGGCUUCCACAAGUAAAGAUGGCCGUAAGGUUGGCGCUUAAAGAUGAGCUCGCGUCCUAUCAGCUAGUUGGCAGGGUAACGGCCUACCAAGGCUUUUGACGGGUAGCUGGCCUGAGAGGGUGGUCAGCCACAUGGGGACUGAGACACUGCCCCAACUCCUACGGGAGGCUGCAGUCGAGGAUAUUUAGCAAUGGACGAAAGUCUGACUAUGUGACGCCGCGUGAGGGAUGAAGGUUCUCGGAUUGUAAACCUCUUUCGAUGGGAAAGAAAAUUCCGUUUAACUAACGGAACUGACGGGACCCACAGAAGAAGCCACGGGCAACUCUGUGGCAGCAGCCGCGGUAAUACAGAGGUGGCGAGCGUUACUCGGAUUUAUUGGGUGGUAAAGGCAAGUAAGCGUCCCUACCAGUUAGAAAUGAAAUCCUAAAGCUCAACCUUAAAACUGCUUCUUUAACUGUAGGGAGUGAGACUAAAAGAAGAGAGCGGAAUUCCCCGCGGUAGGGUGAGAUCUGUAGAUUCGGGGAGGAACCCACUGGGCGAAACCGCUCUCUGGUCUGGGUCUGAAGCUAAACCUGCGAAGCUAGGGGAGCAAACGGAGUAAAUACCCUGUAGUCUUGCCGAAACAAAGACACUAGGUGUUGGGGGG